rnacentral:rRNA from 1 species
AACGAACGCUGGCGGCAUGCCUAACACAUGCAAGUCGAACGAGACCUUCGGGUCUAGUGGCGCACGGGUGCGUAACGCGUGGGAACCUGCCCUUAGGUUCGGAAUAACUCCCCGAAAGGGGUGCUAAUACCGGAUAAUGUCUUCGGACCAAAGAUUUAUCGCCUUUGGAUGGGCCCGCGUUGGAUUAGCUAGUUGGUAGGGUAAAAGCCUACCAAGGCGACGAUCCAUAGCUGGUCUGAGAGGAUGAUCAGCCACACUGGGACUGAGACACGGCCCAGACCCCGGCGGGGGGAGGGGGGGGGAAUUUUUGAAAAGGGGCGAAAGGCUUGACCAAGAAUGCCCGGGGGGGGAAGAAGGCCUUUGGGUUUUAAAAGCUUUUUUCCCGGGAAGGAAAAGGACGGGCCGGGAAAAAUAGCCCCCGCCUAACCCGGGG